ACCACAUCCAAGGAAGGCAGCAGGCGCGCAAAUUACCCACUCUCGGCACGAGGAGGUAGUGACGAAAAAUAACGAGACCGUUCUCUAUGAGGCCGGUUAUCGGAAUGGGUACAAUUUAAACCCUUUAACGAGGAUCUAUGAGAGGGCAAGUCUGGUGCCAGCAGCCGCGGUAAUUCCAGCUCUCAAAGUGUAUAUCGUCAUUGCUGCGGUUAAAAAGCUCGUAGUUGGAUCUGCGCCUCAGGACUCGGUCCGCCCACUGGGUGUGAACUGGGCUCCUAGGCUAAUACUGCUGGUUUUCCUUUCGUGGCCUUCACUGGUUGCGUUGGGUGGCUAGCGAGUUUACUUUGAAAAAAUUAGAGUGCUUAAAACAGGCUAUUGCCUGAAUACUCGUGCAUGGAAUAAUAGAAUAGGACCUCGGUUCUAUUUUGUUGGUUUUCUGAACUGAGAUAAUGGUUAAGAGGGACAGACGGGGGCAUUCGUAUCGCUGCGUGAGAGGUGAAAUUCUUGGACCGCAGCGAGACGCCCUACUGCGAAAGCAUUUGCCAAGAAUGUCUUCAUUAAUCAAGAACGAAAGUCAGAGGUCCC
rnacentral:rRNA from 1 species